CCUCGCAGUGACCCCAGCCGUGCUGACCUUUAAAUGACCCAUGUUUGACCUUAAAAUGGAACCCAUAUUGUGACCUUAAAUGACCCCGUAUUGUGACCUUAAAUGACCCCCAUAUUGUGUCCUUAAAUGACCCCAUAUUGUGACCUUAAAUGACCCCAUAUUGUGACCUUAAAUGACCCCAUAUUGUGACCUUAAAUGACCCCAUAUUGUGACCUUAAAUGACCCCGUAUUGUGACCUUAAAUGACCCCGUCCCCAUAUGACCUUGAAUAACCCCUAUCUCUGGAUGACCUGGAGUAACCCCGUCCUAUGGCUGACCUCAGGUGACCCCGUGACCCUUAGUGACCUCAGGUGACCCCACAUUGGGAGUGACCUGGAGUAACCCCAUCCUAUGGGUGACCUCAGGUGACCCCGUGACCCCAUGUGACCUCAGGUGACCCCAUAUUGUGACCUCGGGUGACCCCAUCCCCAUAUGACCUUGAAUAACCCCCAUCUCUGGAUGACCUGGAGUAACCCCGUCCUACGGGUGACCUCAGGUGACCCCAUGACCCUUAGUGACCUCAAAUGACCUUUGGUGACCUCAGAUGACCCCUGUGACCUAAUUAGUGACCUCAGAUGACCCCAUAUUAUGAAUGACCUCGAGUAACCCCAAUCUAGGGCUGACCUCAGGUGACCCCGUGACCCCAUGUGACCUCAGGUGACCCCACGUGACCUCAGGUGACCCCAUGUGACCUCAGGUGACCCUCACCUUCCUCCUCCUCGUCUCCAUGGCGACCGCUUCGGUCCCACAGUCCGUCUCCAUGGUGACGGUUGCCAUGGUGAUGAUGGUCGCCAUGUUUGUCCUCGUGGUUGCCAUGGUGAUGGUCGCCAUGUUUGUCCUCGUGGUUGCCAUGGUGAUGGUUGCCAUGGUGAUGGUUGCCAUGGAGAUCGCCAUGAUGCUGGUUGCCAUGGAGGUCGCCAUGAUGGUUACCAUGGUCCCCGCUCUUGCUGUGGUCGCCAUGGUGACCGCCAUGAUGCUGGUUGCCAUGGAGACCGUGAUGCUGGUUGCCAUGGAGACCGUGAUGCUGGUUGCCAUGGAGAUGGGCUCCCAGCUGGUUGCCAUGGGGCUCUGUGUUGCCAUGGGAACGGCUGCCGUUGCCGUGGUGAUGGAGCUGCAGCUCUAAGAGGCCGAUCUUCUUCUGCAGCGCCUCCCGCAGCCCAGAGACAUUGCGGCUGUGCUGGGGGGAGGACAAUGGGGCUGCCCCAUAGCUGCCCCAUAGCUGCCCCAUAGCUGCCCCAUAGCUGCCCCAUGGCUGCCCCAUAGCUGCCCCAUAGCUGCCCCAUGGCUGCCCCAUAGCUGCCCCAUAGCUGCCCCAUAGC
rnacentral:lncRNA from 1 species